rnacentral:rRNA from 1 species
CAGAUUGAACGCUGGCGGCAGGCUUAACACAUGCAAGUCGAACGGUAACAGGGAUUAGCUUGCUAAUUUGCUGACGAGUGGCGGACGGGUGAGUAAUGCUUGGGAAUCUGGCUUAUGGAGGGGGAUAACUACGGGAAACUGUAGCUAAUACCGCGUAAAAUCUUCGGAUUAAAGGGUGGGACUUUCGAGCCACCUGCCAUAAGAUGAGCCCAAGUGGGAUUAGGUAGUUGGUUAGGUAAAGGCUGACCAAGCCGACGAUCUCUAGCUGGUCUGAGAGGAUGACCAGCCACACUGGAACUGAGACACGGUCCAGACUCCUACGGGAGGCAGCAGUGGGGAAUAUUGCACAAUGGGGGGAACCCUGAUGCAGCCAUGCCGCGUGAAUGAAGAAGGCCUUCGGGUUGUAAAGUUCUUUCGGUGACGAGGAAGGUUGAUAGGUUAAUAGCCUAUCAAAUUGACGUUAAUUACAGAAGAAGCACCGGCUAACUCCGUGCCAGCAGCCGCGGUAAUACGGGGGGUGCGAGCGUUAAUCGGAAUAACUGGGCGUAAAGGGCACGCAGGCGGUGACUUAAGUGAGAUGUGAAAGCCCCGGGCUUAACCUGGGAAUUGCAUUUCAUACUGGGUCGCUAGAGUACUUUAGGGAGGGGUAGAAUUCCACGUGUAGCGGUGAAAUGCGUAGAGAUGUGGAGGAAUACCG